ACGCUGCUCACUACUUUAACUGGGUACCAGGACAUCUGAGUAACUUUGUAGAUCACAGUGUUGAAGACUGUGUUGCGUUUAUUCCGUACAAAAAUGGGGAGUGGGACGAUAUCCCGUGCGGACAUACAGUAUCCUCUCACCAUCAUAGCCAUGCUGUUGGUGAAGUUCACCCCGUUCUUUGUCAAUACAAUACUGUAUCAGGGCCUUCCUUUAUUGGCUAGGUCUUCUUGGAAUUGUUUUGUCUUUGCAAUACAUAAUCUUUGGCAUCUCAAAAAAUAAAAAAUAAAGGACCUUAUAUAUCGCCUUA